rnacentral:rRNA from 1 species
UGGGGAAUCUUAGACAAUGGGGGAAACCCUGAUCUAGCCAUGCCGCGUGAGCGAUGAAGGCCUUAGGGUUGUAAAGCUCUUUCAGCUGGGAAGAUAAUGACGGUACCAGCAGAAGAAGCCCCGGCUAACUCCGUGCCAGCAGCCGCGGUAAUACGGAGGGGGCUAGCGUUGUUCGGAAUUACUGGGCGUAAAGCGCACGUAGGCGGAUUAGUCAGUCAGAGGUGAAAUCCCAGGGCUCAACCCUGGAACUGCCUUUGAUACUGCUAGUCUUGAGGUCGAGAGAGGUGAGUGGAAUUCCGAGUGUAGAGGUGAAAUUCGUAGAUAUUCGGAGGAACACCAGUGGCGAAGGCGGCUCACUGGCUCGAUACUGACGCUGAGGUGCGAAAGCGUGGGGAGCAAAACAGGAUUAGAUACCCUGGUAGUCCACGCCGUAAACGAUGAAUGCCGGUCGUCGGGUUGCAUGCAAUUCGGUGACACACCUAACGGAUUAAAGCAUUCCGCCUGGGGAGUACGGUCGCAAGAUUAAAACUUAAAUGAAUUGACGGGGUCAUAGCUGUUUCCUG